UAAGUACCCAUAUUCAAUAUUAAGCAGUGAAUCAGGUCAGGUCGUGACUGAAGCAGCCUUAAGCUUAACUUAGUAUGUGGGUAUGGGUACUUAAGG
rnacentral:SRP_RNA from 2 species